CAACCUGAACUCAGUCGUGAUUACCCGCUGAACUUAAGCAUAUCAUUUAGCGGAGGAAAAGAAACUAAAAAGGAUUCCCCUAGUAACGGCGAGUGAAACGGGAAGAGCCCAGCGCCGAAUCGAUCAGUCUUUGGCUGCUUCGAAAUGUAGGCGUAUAGGUGUAGUCUUCCAGCAGUGUCGUAUGUCCGAAGUCCUUGCGAUUGAGGCCAUAAACCAGAGAGGGUGCGAGCCCCGUUCUGGAUAGCGGCGCUGUUGGUUCGACUGCUCCUUGGAGUCGGGUUGCUUGAAAGUGCAGCCUAAAGUGGGUGAUAAACUUCAUCUAAGGCUAAAUAUUGACUCGAUUGCGAUAGCGAACAAGUACCGUGAGGGAAAGUUGCAAAGGACUUUGAAGAGAGAGUUCAAGAGAACGUGAAAUCGCUGGAGUGGAACCGGAGACAGUUGAUGUUGCUUGGAGACAAUCUUGGUGGCUGAUCGCUUAGCUGUGAUCGCCGCCGGGAGUCGUUUCCUAUGCUACGCCGACGGCGUUGGCCGCUCGUUCUGGCCCGACAGUGUUGCCCAUCUCGCAAGAGACGGUGUCUUGUUGUCGGUCGUUGGUUCGUGGUGGCUAGCGUUUAGUUACGCUAGUGUGUGUGACGUCGGUGUGAAAGUCGACGACGUUUCCGACCCGUCUUGAAACACGGAUUACGGAGUGUUUGUCUGCUGCGAGUCAAAGGGUGUAAAAACCUUGCGGCGCAAUGAAAGUGAAGGUUAGUCUCGAACUGACCGACGUGGGAUCCGUGCUCUUCGGAGUGCGGCGCACCACGGCCCUAUGCGUGUCACUUGUGACUGUGUAGAGGUUGAGCAGUAGGCAAGCGACCCGAAAGAUGGUGAACUAUGCCUGAGCAGGAUGAAGCCAGAGGAAACUCUGGUGGAAGUC
rnacentral:ncRNA from 1 species